AUGCAGCCCGGACCUCCUGCUCUCUUGUGCAUAGUCGUGGCCCUCAUCUGCCUUGGUCCCAGCAAUGUUGAGAGUGUCGAUCUAUCUACAGAUGUAGUGUAUGAAAAAGAGGAAAUGGAAUGCAAGUUCACCGUCAGCUUUACUUACUAUAUGAUGUACUGGUAUCGACAGGCUUCCAGUGGAGAGAUGAUUUACAUGAUUAAUAUUUAUUCUCAAAGCAAGCAAACAAGUAAAGGACGAUAUUCUGUGGAGUUUUACAAACCCACCCAAACCCCAAAAAACUCACCAUCUCAGCCUUGA